UGACCUUAAUUGGACUUUUCUGUUAGUUCA
rnacentral:piRNA from 1 species